AUUUCAGUAGUUUAUCCAAAACCUUGGCCUUGUAAACCAAAAAUGGCAAAUCAGUUGCCCUGAAAUA
rnacentral:tRNA from 1 species